rnacentral:lncRNA from 1 species
GGCUGCUUUCAUGGAUGGGGAACUGAUCGUGACGGUGCCCGAGGGAGAUGAAGUGGAGGUUGAAGAAGGGAACGGUAAUAAUAAUAAUCGCGGCGGUGGGGGAAGAAGGAAGGUGUGGCCUUGUGGGAGCGGCAGGGGCCGAAUCUGUCGGAGAGAUUCAGACAGAGAGUGGAAGGAGGAGAUAGAAGAAGGAUGGAAAAG